UGGGGAAUAUUGGACAAUGGGCGCAAGCCUGAUCCAGCCAUGCCGCGUGAGUGAUGAAGGCCCUAGGGUUGUAAAGCUCUUUCACCGGUGAAGAUAAUGACGGUAACCGGAGAAGAAGCCCCGGCUAACUUCGUGCCAGCAGCCGCGGUAAUACGAAGGGGGCUAGCGUUGUUCGGAUUUACUGGGCGUAAAGCGCACGUAGGCGGACUAUUAAGUCAGGGGUGAAAUCCCGGGGCUCAACCCCGGAACUGCCUUUGAUACUGGUAGUCUUGAGUUCGAGAGAGGUGAGUGGAAUUCCGAGUGUAGAGGUGAAAAUCGUAGAUAUUCGGAGGAACACCAGUGGCGAAAGCGGCUCACUGGCUCGAUACUGACGCUGAGGUGCGAAAGCGUGGGGAGCAAACAGG
rnacentral:rRNA from 1 species